GAUGAGGCUCUGCCACAGCCACACUCCCAAUUACCACAAACUGUGGGCUUACAGGACUGUUCCCUAUUUAUUUUGAGUUACUUUCUUAAUGCUUUUUAGGAUAACUUGCAAAGGUUUUCUAUCAAAAGUUGAAUAGAAAGAAAAGAAAUUGUAUUAAAAAUUCAGUUCAUCUGAAAAGAUGAAAGAAAAAUUCUGAAGAAAAAUUCUUCUAUAACAUUGAAGAAAACGCAAAGGAAGAAAAAGUGUGAUGUCAGAGGUCUGCUAGCUGAUCUACAGCAGCUGCCAUCACAUCCAAGACUUUACUAAACAUAUGAUUGCUUUUGGACCAGCCUGUCCUUACACAGUCCCUGGAAAGAAAAUGAAAACAGAACAUUUGGAUGAUACAAAUAUAAAUACUCUUUAGGAUCAGUUAAAGCUGAAGAAGGAAGCCAACAGAGGUACAUUCUGAACUGCUACAUGUCACUGUCUGCAAGGCUAGGCAGCUCUAGGCACAGCAAGUCCUUGUCCAGGGUAUCACAUGGCUGAGGUGAAGAGCUGCAGGGCUGCCCUGCCUGUGAUUGCACCCAGGAGAGGAGCCAGCUCUCUUGGAAGUGAUGCUGCAGCAGUGGGUACAAGAGACAGAACAAGGUGCUAUCAGCUGGGAUUAAUUGCUCCUGCUCACUUGCUCCACUUACUUACCUUCCCACUCCAUCUUUGCUCCUCAUCCCUUCCCUAGUAGUCUACUUCUAGUUUCUCAUUUUCUGGAAAGAAAAAGUUUAUUUGUCUGUGCAUCUGAAUAUCCUUGAGCUGUUUUUGUUCAUGACUGCAAGUCUCAUUGAUUUAAUUUUUAAUUGUUUUUGGAGUAUGUUUACAGAUCAAGCUUUGUUCAGGUUGAAUUGUUGCAAUGAAGUUACUGGUAGAAUGAAAAUAAGUUUGAGUGACUUUCUAAUUUUU